rnacentral:lncRNA from 1 species
GGUACGGUACUGCAUGUUAUCUUGACAUUUAUAGCUGUGCUAUACUUGGCUAACAAAGUACCCCUUUUCUCUGAGAGCAAUAACACUUUCCCAUCUGUUUCCUAUGCUUCACUGGCACAUUCACGUAAGAGUGCAGAUAUACAUGUUAGAAAGGUGCAAGUAUUCCAGAGAAAUGUACUGCAAUUGCCAUAAUACCUUUUACAGGGCAUUACAUGUAGUAUGUUUGCUGCGAAAGUGUACUUUUCCAUUUUUUUCAGGAGUUUAAACCUCCCUCCACCGGAGUCACCACAGGGGGAGGGGAAGCCACAGCCACAUCCUGGGAGUGGUAUGAGGGGGAGGCCACAGCCGCAUCCUGGAACUGAUAUACAGUGAUGAAAGAGCUAAGUCCCCUCCUGUUCCCUGAUUAAGAGGUGAUGACCACUCCAUUCCACUACCAUUGUCAACUCCGUCCUGACAUGAACUGAAGCCACGUCUCAUGUGCCCACUCAUCCACUGGCACAUUGAAUGUUUCCACUGUUAGCACUACAAAUCCUGUCCUGCACUGAAGCCAAGCCUUUGAACAUCUCAACUCAUGCCUCAUACCCUCAUU